GCAAGUCGAACGUGAAGCCGGAGCUUGCUCCGGUGGAAAGUGGCGAACGGGUGCGUAACACGUGAGCAACCUGCCCCGAAGACUGGGAUAACACCGGGAAACCGGUGCUAAUACCGGAUACCUUCUUCCGAUCGCAUGGUUGGAUGAAGAAAUGGAUUCCGCUUCGGGAUGGGCUCGCGGCCUAUCAGCUUGUUGGUGAGGUAACGGCCCACCAAGGCGACGACGGGUAGCUGGUCUGAGAGGACGACCAGCCACACUGGGACUGAGACACGGCCCAGACUCCUACGGGAGGCAGCAGUGGGGAAUCUUGCUCAAUGGGCGAAAGCCUGAAGCAGCGACGCCGCGUGCGGGAUGAAGGCCCUCGGGUUGUAAACCGCUUUCAGCAGGGACGAAAUUGACGGUACCUGCAGAAGAAGGCCCGGCCAACUACGUGCCAGCAGCCGCGAUAAUACGUAGGGGCCUAGCGUUGUCCGGAUUUAUUGGGCGUAAAGAGCUCGUAGGCGGUUUGGUGAGUCGGGUGUGAAAUCUCCACGCUCAACGUGGAGGAGCCACCCGAUACUGCCAUGACUAGAGUCCGGUAGGGGAGUGUGGAAUUCCCGGUGUAGCGGUGAAAUGCGCAGAUAUCGGGAGGAACACCAGUAGCGAAGGCGACACUCUGGGCCGGUACUGACGCUGAGGAGCGAAAGCGUGGGGAGCAAACAGGAUUAGAUACCCUGGUAGUCCACGCUGUAAACGUUGGGCACUAGGUGUGGGACUCUAUCGACGGGUUCCGUGCCGUAGCUAACGCAUUAAGUGCCCCGCCUGGGGAGUACGGCCGCUAGGCUAAAACUCAAAGGAAAUUGACGGGGGGCCCGCACAAGCGGCGGAGCAUGUGGCUUAAUUCGAUGCACCGCGAAGAACCUUACCUGGGCUUGACAUUUA
rnacentral:rRNA from 1 species